UACGUAGGGUGCGAGCGUUGUCCGGAAUUAUUGGGCGUAAAGAGCUUGUAGGCGGUUCGUCGCGUCUGCUGUGAAAAUCCGGGGCUCAACCCCGGACUUGCAGUGGGUACGGGCAGACUAGAGUGUGGUAGGGGAGACUGGAAUUCCUGGUGUAGCGGUGAAAUGCGCAGAUAUCAGGAGGAACACCGGUGGCGAAGGCGGAUCUCUGGGCCUGUCCUGACGCUCAGGCGCGAAAGCUAGGGGAGCAAACAGG
rnacentral:rRNA from 1 species